rnacentral:rRNA from 1 species
AACGCGAAGAACCUUACCUACGUUGAACUACGCGGGAAAAGCCAUGGAGACAUGGUGUCCGAAAGGGUCCGCGAUAGGUGGUGCAUGGCUGUCGUCAGCUCGUGUCGUGAGAUGUUGGGUUAAGUCCCGCAACGAGCGCAACCCUUGUCCUAUGUUGCCAGCGGGUAAUGCCGGGGACUCGUAGGAGACUGCCGGGGUCAACUCGGAGGAAGGUGGGGAUGACGUCAAGUCUGCAUGCCCCUUACGCGUAGGGCUGCUAACAUGCUACAAUGGCCGGUACAAAGGGCUGCUAAUCCGCGAGGAGGAGCGAAUCCCAAAAAGCCGGUCUCAGUUCGGAUUGGAGUCUGCAACUCGACUCCAUGAAGUCGGAGUCGCUAGUAAUCCCGGAUCAGCUACGCCGGGGUGAAUACGUUCCCGGGCCUUGUA